rnacentral:rRNA from 1 species
CAAUAGCGUAUAUUGAAGUUGUUGCGGUUAAAAAGCUCGUCGUUGGAUUUCUGUUGAGGUCGAACAGUGCCGCCCUAUGGGUGCGCAACUGGCUCGGCUUCGGCAUCUUCUUGGAGAGCGCAUCUGCACUUAACUGUGUGGAUCGUACUUCAAGUCAGUUACUUUGAGGAAUUGUGAGUGUUUCAAGCAGGCUUACGCCGUUGAAUCCGUUAGCAUGGAAUAAUAGGAUAGGACCUCGGUUCUAUUUUGUCGGUUUUGAGAGCUGGGGCAGCGAUUGAUAGGGACGGAUGGGGGCGUCCGAACUUUACUGUCAGAGGUGAAAUUCUUAGAUCGGUCAAAGGCGAACUACUGCGAACGCAUUCGCCAAGAAUGUUUUCUUUAA